GACGAACGCUGGCGGCGUGCUUAACACAUGCAAGUCGAGCGGAGCGGCGAACGGGUGAGUAACGCGUGAGUAACUGCCCCCCUCUCUGGGAUAACAGUUGGAAACGGCUGCUAAUACCGGAUAGUGGGGGAUGACUCGCGUCCUAUCAGCUUGUUGGUGGGGUAGUGGCCUACCAAGGCGACGACGGGUAGCCGGCCUGAGAGGGCGACCGGCCACAUUGGGCUUAGAUACUGCCCCAGUUCGUACGGGGGUCAGCAGUGGGGAAUAUUCCGCAAUGGGGGAAGCCCGGAUGCAGCAUCACGCGUGCGGUAUGCCUGCCUGCGGGUUGUAAACCGCUUUCAGCCAUGACGCGGUAGUGGCAGAAGAAGCACCGGCUAACUACGUGCCAGCAGCCGCGGUAAUAC
rnacentral:rRNA from 1 species